UACGGAGGGUGCAAGCGUUAUCCGGAUUCACUGGGUUUAAAGGGUGCGUAGGUGGGUUGGUAAGUCAGUGGUGAAAUCUCCGAGCUUAACUUGGAAACUGCCAUUGAUACUAUCAGUCUUGAAUAUUGUGGAGGUCAGCGGAAUAUGUCAUGUAGCGGUGAAAUGCUUAGAUAUGACAUAGAACACCAAUUGCGAAGGCAGCUGGCUACGCAUAUAUUGACACUGAUGCACGAAAGCGUGGGGAUCAAACAGG
rnacentral:rRNA from 1 species